rnacentral:lncRNA from 1 species
CACAGAAAACUGCAACUAUUGGUUUACUCUUUGAUUAGUAUUAUAGUUAUCAUCUUUAAUUUUCUCUAUGUUUUAUCUAUUGCAUCUUUACUAGCGUGCAGGCAACUUGAGCAUUGUACUGUUUUCUUGUACCAGAGCUUUCGAAUCCAGUAUGUGGGACAAGCCUCUGCUUAUCCUUCUGACAACUACCAGCGAUGGACUACAAACCCUUCUGUGUUAAGACAUUCUCAUGAAAUCCCUCCAUGGAUGUAUGCAGAGGUAUUCACAGUGCAGAGCUCCCAGGGACAGCUCUGCGCUGUGAGGGUGCCCUCCUUGCCUUGCAGUAAUGGGGCAGACUACAGUCAUCAUUUUCCCAGCACCUUCUGAAAACUGGUUUUCCUGGGGUUUUUCCUAGGUUCUGCUGACUAGAGUGGAAUUCGAAGAAGUAGAUGAGAAAUCUCCUGAACUGUUCAGUAUUUUUGCUGAUUUUUUUUUUCAAUGAAAUAACCUAACUUCAGCUCUUUAUAAAAAAGUAAGUAAAAAAUCUCUGAGGAAUGAAAAUGAUGCAACACUCCCAUGGUUGUUGUUUCUAAUGGCUGGAAAAAUGUAUUACUGGACUUUGUGAAUUGCUAUACUCAGUAAGCAGCAAACACAAUUAAAGCCAGAAUAUACUGUAUCACAACAUGUACUAAAUUAAUUUAUCUUGACAAGUUUCAUUUAGUUUAAAUAAUUCAUAGUGUACUUUUAUUAAAAUGUGAAAGGAAAAGUAAUGAAUUCUUGGUUGUAUGGUAUCUUACUGUAAGGCUCUUACAUUAUUAAAAUUAUAAAUGUAAUCACUGGAAACUUUGCUUUUUUCAAUAAAAAAAAACAACUGUUAGAAGUG